rnacentral:rRNA from 1 species
CGUAGGUGGCAAGCGUUGUCCGGAAUUAUUGGGCGUAAAGCGCGCGCAGGUGGUUUAAUAAGUCUGAUGUGAAGCCCAACGGCUCAACCGUGGAGGGUCAUUGGAAACUGUUAAACUUGAGUGCAGGAGAGAAAGUAGGAAUUCCUAGUGUAGCGGUGAAAUGCGUAAGAGAUUAGGAGGAACACCAGUGGCGAAGGCGGCUUUUUGGCCUGUAACUGACACUGAGGCGCGAAAAGCGUGGGGAGCAAACAGGAUU